CCUGGACGCACCGCGGCGCUUUCUCCCGCGGAUAGAGGAAGCGAAGCGCGUUAGUCCCAGGCUAAGAAAGAAGGUAUUCUCUGUAAGAGGGAUUUGGAAGCAGAGAAACUGAGAUAAAGAGACUUUCCCAAGUUUCAUGGGUAAAACGUGAUGGGGCCAGACCCUGAACCCAACUCAUUUAAUGACGGUCGGGAAAAUAAAGCAGAGCCUUGGUUCAGACCCGGACGUGUGCCUCCUCUCCUUGUUCCUUUCAUUCUGACUUGUCGAGGAGGCCAGCAAACUCAGCAGUGACACAGGAGCCUUAUACACUGCUGAGCCCUGGAAAUACCUGCAAGCCCAUUGACCAGAAUGAAGUUACAUAUCCAGGCAUAACCACAAAGGAGUUUGGAAACAUAAAGAAGC